rnacentral:rRNA from 1 species
AGUGAACGCUGGCGGUAGGCCUAACACAUGCAAGUCGAACGGCAGCACAGUAAGAGCUUGCUCUUACGGGUGGCGAGUGGCGGACGGGUGAGGAAUACAUCGGAAUCUACUUUUUCGUGGGGGAUACGUAGGGAAACUUACGCUAAUACCGCAUACGACCUACGGGUGAAAGCAGGGGAUCUUCGGACCUUGCGCGAUUGAAUGAGCCGAUGUCGGAUUAGCUAGUUGGCGGGGUAAAGGCCCACCAAGGCGACGAUCCGUAGCUGGUCUGAGAGGAUGAUCAGCCACACUGGAACUGAGACACGGUCCAGACUCCUACGGGAGGCAGCAGUGGGGAAUAUUGGACAAUGGGCGCAAGCCUGAUCCAGCCAUACCGCGUGGGUGAAGAAGGCCUUCGGGUUGUAAAGCCCUUUUGUUGGGAAAGAAAAGCAGCAGGUUAAUACCCCGCUGUUCUGACGGUACCCAAAGAAUAAGCACCGGCUAACUUCGUG